GAUUUAGUGGCGGACGGGUGAGGAGCGCGUGGGAACCCUACCUCAUACAGGGGGAUAGCAGUUGGAAACGACUGGUAAAAACCGCAUAAGCGCACGGAUGUCGCAUGACACAGUGUGAAAACACUCCGGUGGUAUGAGAUGGACCCGCGUCUGAUUUAGCUAGUUGGUGAGGUAACGGCCCACCAAGGCGACGAUCAGUAGCCGGCCUGAGAGGGUGAACGGCCACAUUGGGACUGAGACACGGCCCAAACUCCUACGGGAGGCAGCAGUGGGGAAUAUUGCACAAUGGGGGAAACCCUGAUGCAGCGACGCCGCGUGAAGGAAGAAGUAUCUCGGUAUGUAAACUUCUAUCAGCAGGGAAGAAAAUGACGGUACCUGACUAAGAAGCCCCGGCUAACUACGUGCCAGCAGCCGCGGUAAUACGUAGGGGGCAAGCGUUAUCCGGAUUUACUGGGUGUAAAGGGAGCGUAGACGGCACGGCAAGCCAGAUGUGAAAGCCCGGGGCUCAACCCCGGGACUGCAUUUGGAACUGCUGAGCUAGAGUGUCGGAGAGGCAAGUGGAAUUCCUAGUGUAGCGGUGAAAUGCGUAGAUAUUAGGAGGAACCCCAGUGGCGAAGGCGGCUUGCUGGACGAUGACUGACGUUGAGGCUCGAAAGCGUGGGGAGCAAACAGAAUUAGAUACCCUGGUAGUCCACGCCGUAAACGAUGACUACAAGGUGUCGGGUGGCAAAGCGAUUCGGUGGCCGCAGCUAACGCAAUAAGCAGUCCACCUGGGGAGUACGUUUGCAAGAAUGGAAACUCAAAGGAAUUGACGGGGGCCCGCACAAGCAGUGGAGUAUGUGGUUUAAUUCGAAGCAACGCGAAGAACCUUACCAGGUCUUGACAUCCUGAGAAUCCUUAAGAGAUUAGGGAGUGCCUUCGGGAACUCAGAGACAGGUGGUGCAUGGUUGUCGUCAGCUCGUGUCGUGAGAUGUUGGGUUAAGUCCCGCAACGAGCGCAACCCUUGCUAUUAGUUGCUACGCAAGAGCACUCUAAUAGGACUGCCGUUGACAAAACGGAGGAAGGUGGGGACGACGUCAAAUCAUCAUGCCCCUUAUGACCUGGGCUACACACGUACUACAAUGGCCAUUAACAGAGGGAAGCAAAACCGCGAGGCAGAGCAAACCCCUAAAAAUGGUCCCAGUUCGGAUUGUAGGCUGCAACCCGCCUACAUGAAGUUGGAAUUGCUAGUAAUCGCGGAUCAGCAUGCCGCGGUGAAUACGUUCCCGGGCCUUGUACACACCGCCCGUCA
rnacentral:rRNA from 1 species